CGCUCAAUGCAAAGAGGGUGGAUUCUUCACAAUAGUCGUAACAGGACUUGACAUCAUGAGUAACCAUUGUCGUGGUAUUUCGGAUGGAGCUUGACAAAGUGGUGCCGCCAUUGAAACAACCUAUAAGGUAAUCAUCAAACUAACUGCCACGAUGGAACAACGUCAAAGCUGGAGCAGAUGUUGUUGAUUUUAAAGCACCAUGUGGGUGAAGAGAAGUCUCUUUUAAACCGUGAGGCUUACCCCUCAUACUCAUGGAUUUCUUUGUUUUAUUGAGAUCGACUUCAUAUUCCUCUUGUACAACACCUAAGCUUCCUUCUCGCGAAGAAGCAACACGAAAUAUUCUGGAUGGUUCAAAAGAAGCUGCCCUUCCACCAACCCAUUUAGAGAGGGGAAUUCUGUUGGCUACCGCCCGUAGAGUGGCGUCCACAUUUCUAUUUGCAUUGCCUUCUAAUGUAGGUUUAGGCUCCAACACAUGAUAAAAAUGAUCAUCGUCUUGUUCUACUUUGUUAGAUUCACUAGUGUCUGAAGUCUCUUUAUUCUUGAUUUCCUCGAGUAUAUAAUAUUCACCCUCAGGAAUGAUAUCAGGAAUGCUAUGCCGCGGUGUCGGUGGAGGGGUAGGUGGAGUGGGUGGUGGGUCUUCAUCAUACAUUUUGAUAACACUUCUGAUUACAUUAUAGUCAGACUGCCUUCUAACAGGAAGGUCAGCUAAUCUUGAGGCCCCUGGUCCACUCGUUUGAGAAGGGUUUUCAACUGGAGCGGUCGGUAAGCUUUUUUUCUUACUUUUCCACUUCAAACUUCUUUGUUUUUUCUUUUCUGGGAGAGAAAUCGAUUCAUUCCGCAGUUGAAUGUCCGAGAUCGUUGAUAUUGCGUCUCCGUCUGUAAUAACGCUGUAGAUGCUCUCAAUUUCUGUGUACAAACCAUCCGAAUGAACUUCGGUAGGAGACGUAUUAAGGAUGGAUCGGCGUUUCUUCCGCAAUGUUCUACAGAAGAUUAUUCCCAAUUAUUUUUGUUUUUUAUUAAUUUUCAAAAAAUACUUCCACAUCCAAUUUUAUUACAUAAUUCAAAAUUUACCUGCAUCCUAUUCAUCUUAUAUUACUCUUUUUAUUAUGAAAUCAUUUCAUAAUAUACUCCAUAUUUGAUUACUUACAAUACUAUCCAACAGACUCCAACGAUAACUAGAGCAAUCAGCGCAAUGGCAAACACAGCGAUGAAGAUGAACCAGUCCAAAUUCACAGAAGUAGUAUCUGUUAGAAGGAUAGAAGAUGCACGGUUAUUCAAUCUAGAAACAUCUAUGUUUCGCUUCCGUCCGAAAUAUUAAUUAAAGGUGGAACAGAACAGCGAAUGGAAAUGUUGUAAUACACACAGUAACAAUUUUAUGUUUCAACAAAGUACCUGUAUUAUCGAUAAUAUUUCCGACUGUCGUGGUCGUAGAAACAACUGAAGUCAUGUGUAUACUAUUAUUUGUUUCUUCUGAUUGUUUAACUUCGCACAACACUGGCAAGCUUUCGUUACAAAAGCGAUAGGUUAUCUUUAGUUUUCCUGACGCGUUGACUUCCCCGGCAA